rnacentral:rRNA from 1 species
UUACUUGACAAACUUGACCUCAAAUCAGGUAAGACUACCCGCUGAACUUAAGCAUAUCAAUAAGCGGAGGA